rnacentral:rRNA from 1 species
AUUGAACGCUGGCGGCAUGCCUUACACAUGCAAGUCGAACGGCAGCACGGGUGCUUGCACCUGGUGGCGAGUGGCGAACGGGUGAGUAAUACAUCGGAACAUGUCCUGUAGUGGGGGAUAGCCCGGCGAAAGCCGGAUUAAUACCGCAUACGAUCCACGGAUGAAAGCGGGGGACCUUCGGGCCUCGCGCUAUAGGGUUGGCCGAUGGCUGAUUAGCUAGUUGGUGGGGUAAAGGCCUACCAAGGCGACGAUCAGUAGCUGGUCUGAGAGGACGACCAGCCACACUGGGACUGAGACACGGCCCAGACUCCUAAGGGAGGCAGCAGUGGGGAAUUUUGGACAAAGGGCGAAAGCCUGAUCCAGCAAUGCCGCGUGUGUGAAGAAGGCCUUCGGGUUGUAAAGCACUUUUGUCCGGAAAGAAAUCCUUGGCUCUAAUACCGGCGGGGGAUGACGGUACCGGAAGAAUAAGCACCGGCUAACUACGUG